UUCUGUUUAAGUCAACCAAAAAUCUUGUUAACUUAAGCAGAAUUCGGGUUACUUCAAUCGGAAUAUCUGGAUCGUUCAUAUUCGACCAGAUAUUUGGUUAAUUCGACCAAACUUUUUUUUCCAUGCACAAUGUAAAAACAGGCGUGUUAUCAGGUGUGUUAAAACAACACACAAUUCACUAAUUUGAUGUGUUUAUGCGUUUAAACAACACAGCUGCGGUUGUAAAUAUAUUGAAACGACACACAAAGUAUACUGAUCUAUACACGAAUUCUGUGUUAUAGUGGAUAACACAGUGGACAACACACUUCAUGUAUGUUAAGACCAUAAUUCAGUAAAUUGAAUGCAUAUAAUGUAUGUAAAUGUAAUGCAUGAAUCGCAGAAUAACAAUAAUUUGGAAAAAACAACAUAUUACUAGAGUUACACACUUACAGGAAUUACACAUAAAACCUCAUAUUAUUCAAAAAGAAUGAACAAGAAAAUAUGUGGAUAAUAUUAAUGAUGUGAUGAAUGCAGUUAUCACUGACAAAUAUUUUUGCAUUAGGCUGCAGAAAACAUUGGCUAUUAUACAGUAUCUAACCAGUUUAUGUAAUGUCUACGAAGUUAUAUGGGAAAAAAGUGACGUGAGCAUGAAACGUCAAAUAGCUCAGUGGCUCACUGCAGCACCCGGCAAGCGAAAGAUCCAGGUUCGAGUCCUGGCAUAGCUAGCAACAAACCGCGCUUUGGGUAUUUUUCUCUCUCCGGAAUGAAAAGAAGACUGCAGAUAGCGGACCAGUUAUAUAUCCAACAUUGGUGCGACGUUGGCAUCAAUGUUGAUGUCAGUGCUGGUGUUAGUGUUUAACCAGUACGGCAAGGUGUUACACUCCUAUAUUGAAUCUAUACUGGCACAACACUGGCGGCCAGUACGGGUACAACGGCAAUCGGUACUGUCCCAAUGUUGGACCGCUUUAACAUUUCUACGUGGGAUAUUUUCUUAACAUGAGAUUAACAUUCUUAAAGAGAUUAACAUGUCUUUGUUUCUUUAAUUUUAAAUUACAAAGUCUAAACUUGCACAAUUCUUCAAUUUUUCACGAAAAAUUAAUAAUUUUA